rnacentral:rRNA from 1 species
CCUACGGGUGGCAGCAGUGGGGAAUAUUGGGCAAUGGGCGCAAGUCUGACCCAGCAACGCCGCGUGAAGGAAGAAGGCUUUCGGGUUGUAAACUUCUUUUAAGAGGGACGAGCAGAAGACGGUGCCUCUUGAAUAAGCCACGGCUAACUAAGUGCAAGCAGCCGCGGUAAUACGUAGGUGGCAAGCGUUGCCCGGAUUUAUGGGGUGUAAAGGGCGUGUAGCCGGGCUGACAAGGCAGAUGUGAAAUCCGGGGGCUCAACCCCCGAACUGCAUUUGAUACUGUUGGUCUUGAGUAUCGGAGAGGCAGGCGGAAUUCCUAGUGUAGCGGUGAAAUGCGUAGAUAUUAGGAGGAACACCAGUGGCGAAGGCGGCCUACUGGACGACAACUGACGGUGAGGCGCGAAAGCGUGGGGAGCAAACAGGAGUAGAUACCCUGGUAGUC